AGCCAGACUCCUACGGGAGGCAGCAGUGGGGAAUAUUGGGCAAUGGGCGCAAGCCUGACCCAGCAACGCCGCGUGAAGGAAGAAGGCUUUCGGGUUGUAAACUUCUUUUCUCAGGGACGAAGCAAGUGACGGUACCUGAGGAAUAAGCCACGGCUAACUACGUGCCAGCAGCCGCGGUAAUACGUAGGUGGCAAGCGUUAUCCGGAUUUACUGGGUGUAAAGGGCGUGUAGGCGGGACUGCAAGUCAGAUGUGAAAACCACGGGCGCAACCUGUGGCCUGCAUUUGAAACUGUAGUUCUUGAGUACUGGAGAGGCAGACGGAAUUCCUAAUGUAGCGGUGAAAUGCGUAGAUAUUAGGAGGAACACCAGUGGCGAAGGCAGUCUGCUGGACAGCAACUGACGCUGAGGCGCGAAAGCGUGGGGAGCAAACAGGAUUAGAUACCCGAGUAUGC
rnacentral:rRNA from 1 species